rnacentral:rRNA from 1 species
AGUGAACGCUGGCGGUAGGCCUAACACAUGCAAGUCGAACGGCAGCACAGUAAGAGCUUGCUCUUACGGGUGGCGAGUGGCGGACGGGUGAGGAAUACAUCGGAAUCUACUUUUUCGUGGGGGAUAACGUAGGGAAACUUACGCUAAUACCGCAUACGACCUACGGGUGAAAGCAGUGGAUCUUCGGACCUUGCGCGAUUGAAUGAGCCGAUGUCGGAUUGGCUAGUUGGCGGGGUAAAGGCCCACCAAGGCGACGAUCCGUAGCUGGUCUGAGAGGAUGAUCAGCCACACUGGAACUGAGACACGGUCCAGACUCCUACGGGAGGCAGCAGUGGGGAAUAUUGGACAAUGGGCGCGAGCCUGAUCCAGCCAUACCGCGUGGGUGAAGAAGGCGUUCGGGUUGUAAAGCCCUUUUGUUGGGAAAGAAAAGCAGCAGGUUAAUACCCCGCUGUUCUGACGGUACCCAAAGAAUAAGCACCGGCUAACUUCGUG